rnacentral:rRNA from 1 species
AUUGAACGCUGGCGGCAUGCCUUACACAUGCAAGUCGAACGGUAACAGGUUAAGCUGACGAGUGGCGAACGGGUGAGUAAUGUAUCGGAACGUGCCCAGUCGUGGGGGAUAACUGCUCGAAAGAGCAGCUAAUACCGCAUACGACCUGAGGGUGAAAGCGGGGGAUCGCAAGACCUCGCGCGAUUGGAGCGGCCGAUAUCAGAUUAGGUAGUUGGUGAGGUAAAGGCUCACCAAGCCGACGAUCUGUAGCUGGUCUGAGAGGACGACCAGCCACACUGGGACUGAGACACGGCCCAGACUCCUACGGGAGGCAGCAGUGGGGAAUUUUGGACAAUGGGCGCAAGCCUGAUCCAGCCAUGCCGCGUGCGGGAAGAAGGCCUUCGGGUUGUAAACCGCUUUUGUCAGGGAAGAAAAGGUUCUGGCUAAUACCUGGGACUCAUGACGGUACCUGAAGAAUAAGCACCGGCUAACUACGUGCCAGCCGCCGCCGUAA